GACGAACGCUGGCGGCGUGCUUAACACAUGCAAGUCGAGCGGUAAGGCCCUUUCGGGGGUACACGAGCGGCGAACGGGUGAGUAACACGUGGGUGACCUGCCCUCAGCUCUGGGAUAAGCCUGGGAAACCGGGUCUAAUACUGGAUAUGACUCCAUGACGCAUGUUGUGGGGUGGAAAGCCUUGUGCGGCUGAGGAUGGGCCCGCGGCCUAUCAGCUUGUUGGUGGGUGANGGCCUACCAAGGCGACGACGGGUAGCCGGCCUGAGAGGGCGACCGGCCACACUGGGACUGAGACACGGCCCAGACUCCUACGGGAGGCAGCAGUGGGGAAUCUUGCGCAAUGGGCGAAAGCCUGACGCAGCGACGCCGCGUGAGGGAUGACGGCCUC
rnacentral:rRNA from 1 species